rnacentral:lncRNA from 10 species
AGAGGAGAUGCUCAGCAAAUGCCAGCUGCCAUCUCCCCCCAACCCCAUGCUACAUCUAACUGUGUCUCAGUUUUCUGCUGCACUUAGAGGAUAAGGAUGAGAGCUGAGGGUGGGGAGAGAAGGAAGAGCAGCAGCAGUAGCAGCUUCAGGAGGCUCCUGAUCACUUAGAAGAGAUGAAGGCUGAGCUACAGUAGGAGAGACUCAGGUUAACCCUGAGAGGGACUUCCCAUACUGAGACCCUGGAGGAAGCCACAUUUCAAAGGCCCCGCGAAACAUUCAAGGACCUUCUUCCAAGGGCACAAUACUGAGCAACAUGGACAAGGUCUGGCCCUAUGGUAAAGUCAGGUCUGGAUCAUGGAAUUGAAUGGGGUGUGUUGCCAGGCACCCGCAUGAGGGGCUGGCUCCUCCCCGUGAAUUCUGGGCACAGACACCCAGACCUGAGCAGGCCCCUCACCCCACAGCGACUGGGGAGCCGGAGCCCGAGUCCCUCCCACCUGCUCCCUCGGUUUCUGAGGGUCUGUCUCAUCCUGCAGCUGGACAGACGUGAUCUUCAGCCCCAAGUUACAGACGCUUAGAGAAGCUGGAGACUUGCACAAUGUCUCAGAGGAAAGAGAGCCAGAACCUGGACCCGUGUUGUACCCCAACCAAACCCUCCAUGGUGGAAGGAAUAGGAGUGGGAAGGGGAGGAGGAGACAUAUGGUCCAGGAGGUUCCAUAUGUACCCACACAUGGACCUCAAAGAGGCCCCCACAGCAAGACAGCAAAUGACAUCCACAGUCACAGAUCACGGAGUGAUUUCAGAUGAAGAUGGUGCUGGCAGUUUCCCCAUCAGCGCAAUGGAGUUUGAGCAAAGGAUCUCACUGGAGAAGUCGCAGCGACAGUGGAUCUAAGAGCAGAGGGCAAGGGCUGCCUGAGCCUUGUGAAGCUCAAUUCUGCCCCCUGGUGCCCAGAAUGCCGCGCCAGCAAUGGGAUGCAGGAAGAAGAGGCAGGAGACACCUGAGGUCUCUUACCUUUUCCAAGCUACUCAGACCUCCCUCUUACAGGGCAGGGAACACAGGGCACCAGCCCUACUAACCCAAUCUGAGGGGAAACUCUGAGGCUCCCUCUCCUGCAGAGAUCUCAGACUCUGUGGUAGAGUUGGUGUGGGGGGACACGUGACGUCAGCAAUAGCCCUGUCCAUCCAGCACCUGGACACCCCGAGUGGUUCCUUCUAUGGGAGGCAGAGGCAGGGCUGCCCCCUCUGCUGUGCAAUUCCUGGGGUCUUCAUCUGAGUUAAAUUCUUUUAAGUCAGGA